UUGCAAUAUUCUACAAUUUAUUCUAGAAUUUCCAGAGACUAGAAUUUCCAGAGAUUGAAUUAUAAUAUUUCCCCUAUUUCUCUUAGACUCUGAAGACAAAUUUCUUCCCCCCUCUCUCGUCUCUUAGAGUGAGUAUGAGAGCAGGAACAACCCAAUAUUGACUAUUUUUUUCAGAAUGUGUUCUACGAAAGAAAGUUUUAGCAAGCUAGAGAGAGAGGUAGGAAAGAAAAAUGAACAUAGGGAAGGAAAGAGAGAGAGAACACAAAGAUGGUGGAAGAAGACAGGCAGAGGGGUGAGGAGUCCUCUACUGUGGGAUCUGCAAAGUCCUUCAUCCAGCCAAUACUUACUGAGAAAAAUGAGCACAAUCCCUGGUUUUGUGUCCGCUACAUGGGCUCCGAUCAGGUGCUGAAGCUAGCAUCUUCUGUGAGAUUAAGCAUACCAAAGGUUUUUUACCAUCAUGGCCACAUAUAAUGAGAACAACCCACAUGCCUUCACUCGUAAUGAGUGCCAUCUCAAGACCCAUCUCAUGGCAGCCUAGGAACCACCUUACCUGGAAGGUGAGUUCUCUUAGAAGUAGCACUUGACACAUGGGGAAUUGAGGCUUAUGGGGUUAAAUAGCUUGCCCAAGGACACACAACUAGCAAGUGAGGAAGCCAGGAUUCAAACCCAGUGUGCUAGCUCCAAACCCCAAUUGCCUAAUUGCUAUACAAUUUAAGGAAAAAGGUUGAUGAUGAUUAAGGUGGCUCAGCAGCAUGGGAGUCUAAAAUGUGUAAGAUCCAUUUGAAAGUUGGGGCAUCAGUCUCCUUUUUUCUUUUCUUUUUCUUUUUUUUUUUUGGAGGAAAAGAUAUGGAGAAAGUCUAGGCACGUGUUGGUGAGUGUAGCACAAUGGCAUUCAGGCGAUGGGAUUGGGAACUCAAGUGAUGAAUCUGGCCUUUGCAUCUUUAAAUACCUCAGAAGGUCAGAUUAGCACAGAAACCCUGAUGCUGAACCGAACACUCGGUCCUCCCAGUUGGCAAACAUUAGCUGGUUGAAAUACUUCCUGAUGGAAAUACCGAUAACACGCUGACAAAAGUUCAGACUUGUUUCUAAAGGUCAUCUCAACCACCGGAGCAAUUAGUUCAAGUUUGCCUUUUGCUUUUCCCUGGUGAGAGUUUUAGCCGAAACCUCAAAUUUUAGUCCUCUUUGCAACAUAUGGUCAGUGACAGCAGACAGUCUGAGAUUAUACCUCACACAGAAUGUGUGGUGAUCAAAAAGUUUCUCUUCGUCUGGGCCGGAAGCAGAGUUAAGACUUUCAGACUGUGCCACAGCGACAGGUAGUAGCCUCUCCGAGGGGAAUCUUGUCCCUGGAAUGCUCCCGAAACCCCAGAACCAUCCAGUGCCCUCCUGCAUCUGAUUUCUGCAAGCACCACGAUGUCCCCCGUGUUGAACUCCUUUAAAUCCCCUGUCCCUUCUGCAUCACCUAUCAGCUUCAGCAUGGAAAAUCUGCUCCAACUUUCCUCUUACCCGCAUUUCUUUCCUCUUCCUUUCCCAUUCCUACUGCCACUACCCUCUUCUAUAUCCCAUAAACUUCUGCCCAGCCUGUCCCGGCUGCCCUGUCUUCAGUCCACCUUCCUGUGCCUCCUCCAUAUGCAGGUGAAGUGACCUUUCUAAAACUGCCCUCUGACCUUGACUUAAUCCUGCUUAAACACCUUCAGAAUUUCCCAUGGCUCUCAGAAUAAAGCCCAAACCCUUCUGUGGAUUGGACA
ensembl:lncRNA